UCCAGAAGAGCUGCAUUCCUCAGCUUCACUCCUCCCCCUGGCUGCAGUGUGUCGCUAGGUGGAGGGUUCGAGUCCCAGCCGCCCUCCAGACUGAGCUCCCGACGCUGAGGAAGAUCAUCAAUGAAACUGAGAGAAGCUCGAAUCCACAGAUAAACAACAGUUGAUUUGUUUGUUGACAUAUUUCAUUUGAUGAAUGAGGCCUGAGUCAGACUACAUGUACAAUGGACACAAGACCAGAAGCCACAGGACUUUUAUUUCUCUGUUCAGAGGUUCAGCAAAAGAACAGAAAACAUCAUUCGUCAUUUAGUCACAUAAAAAAAUAUAUGGUUCAACAGGCAUUCUUCAGGACACAAAAUGGCGAAUAACAAAGCACAUGCAAAAAAUAACACGUUUGCUAGCUUGGUGGAACACUCUGAACUAACUCACAAAUUAAAAUAAACCAUAAAGUAAUUAAGCAGCUCGACUGCUAUGAUCUUACAAUACACAUUAAACAUUCUAAACAACUUACAGAUAACUUAAACUACAAACUUUACACAUUAGUGUCGCGCUGUACAACAUACACACCUCUCUGUCAGCUCCAGAACAUUCUGACGAGAGCCGGUAAAAUAAAUACAAUGCCCACCGGCGACCUAUAGAGGGCGCCAAACACAUAUCAAACACUUACAGUUUUUUUCGAUUGCUUAAGCACGAUUUUCAAAACAGGGCCCGGUGUUUCAAACACUAAACACAAUCAGCACAACCACACACCCAAUCAGCAGAACACCUCAGAUCUUUUGCAAAA